rnacentral:rRNA from 1 species
CAGCAGCCACGGUAAGACAGAGGAUGCAAGCGUUAUCCGGAAUGAUUGGGCGUAAAGCAUCUGUAGAUGGCUUUUCAAGUCCGCCGUCAAAUCACAGGGCUCAACCCUGGACAGGCGGCGGAAACUACCAAGAUGGAGUACGGUAGGGGCAGAGGGAACUUCCGGUGGAGCGGUGAAAUGCGUUGAGAUCGGAAGGAACGCCCGUGGCGAAAGCGAGGCCCUGGACCCUUUCUGACGCUGAGACGCGAAAGCCAGGGGAGCGAACGGGAUUAGAUACCCCCGUAGUCCCUGUCUCUUAUAC